AAUACAUUGUCUUAUUAAAUACAAUAAUCAGUCAAUAUAAAGCUUUUCACCCACCUGAACAUAGAAGUAAUAGUCAUCAUUAUAACAAUACAAAUUGUAAUCGCGUUUCAAAGUUUCAAAAAUUGUUAUUUUAUUUUUUGAAACUUGAAUAGGUUAGAAGUGUUUAUAAAAGUUUUUUUUACUUAGUUUUGAAAAUUGACAAAAGAUGCUUUGAUAACACUCUGUUGCCUUCUGUGGAAGUUAAUUCUUAUAGCACUUACUAUUCAAAUCCUUGCUAAGUUCAAGUUUUACUUAAGGAUGUACUUAGAUGAGGUUUUGGAAUUUGUGUCAAAUGUUCGGACUCUUUGGUGUUUUUCCAUACAAUUCAAUGUAAAAUAUUUUGCCUCAUAACACCCAUUUAUUUUUUCAUAUUAGACUUAAUAGCUCAUGAAAGGUCAUUUCCAAAUUUAGAAGAUUCUUGAUUUCUUUCUUUUGCUUGGAAACAAUAAUACCAAUGCAAAUAUAAGGUAAAAUCUGAGUCAGUCUUUCCGUUAUAUUAAAACCUCAAUAUCUUGAAAGAGUCAAUGACCCUCAUAUUUUUAGCUUAUCUUCAUCCUUAAUUGAUGUUCUACCAGCUUAUAGUAUCAAUUUUUAUUUCUUCAUUUCUUAAUUUUUACCUAACCUCACCUAAGUACAUCCUUAAGAUCUAUCUUCCUUGACAUUACAAAUAAGUGCUAAUGAUAACUUAACAUGAAGGUAUGUCCCUUAAGUGAUACUGUGUAAAAAGCAGUUGAACGCCAUAUAUGAUAAAUUAUAUUAAAUUCAUGUAAAAGCUUUACUAUAAUUACAUGUUAUGUGUAGGUCUGAAAACGAAUGCCUAUAGAAAACUUUGUAUGGAAGUUUUUAAGAAACAUUUAAGAUGUGUGGAAUUUUCUUGUAAGCAUUGAAAUUUGUUAUUGCUUAUCAAAUUUGAAAAUGCAAACUGAAGAAAACGUAAAAAAUCAAAAGUAUAAUCUUGAGUGACAGAUAAAUAAUUUUUCAGAGGUUUUGUCAUUUUGAAACAUUGAAAAUGUGAAAAGACUGUAAAUGCACUGCCAUUUUCACUAACUUAUUGUUUUGUAUGAAACCAUUUUAUUACAUAAGCAUUACCCUUGGAGGAAACAAAAACAUGCCUAUGAUUUGUUAUUUGAUAUCAUCAUUAAAAAUGUCCACAUCAUUUAAGUAAGAAUUCAAAUGAGAAAUAGAAAAUAAUGGAAAAAACUCAAAAUAAUGGUUUAAAAAAAUAAAGAAUAGAGACAAAUGGACCAAACUUAUGAUGAAAAGAGCAUACUUUGGUGCUAAAAUAUAUUAAAAGACAAAGGAUGAUUAGCAAAAUAAAUAAAACAUAAAGGAACAUGGCCAAAUUUUUGUUAAAAUACAAAAAUGAAACCCUUCUCCAUCUAGACCCUCGUAAUAAACACUUUAACAGUAAAAGAAAAAUGAAGACAUCACCAGAAUCACUGUAUUUAAUUCUAUCCUUCUUAGUCUAUGAUACUACUUUUUGGGUGAAGUAGUCAUUAUAAAUAGUACAUUUUGUACCACCAUUUAUAUGAGGCAUUUUAUUGUAUAAUUAAAUCUGGUGCAAUAUUCCUAUUUGAUAUGUGUAUUAUUCAUGUUUAUUGAUUUAGCAUACUUGUAAAAGGUCACAAACAACAUGAACAAUAUUGUUAUUGUUAUUGUACAGUUCAUCCUUGAUUUUAAUAAAGUGAUAGCAAUA
rnacentral:lncRNA from 1 species